rnacentral:lncRNA from 1 species
UCUUCAAGUUUUGUACACCAAAAAACUUUUCAAGAUACCCUUAAAGGCUGCAUACAAUAUGUCUUCAUUUCUUAUGUAUUUUAUAGCGAUUUUAAAUUAGCAUAUUACAAGUUAUAAUCUAUAUUAUGAACUGUUAUACUCAAUGGAUAUAGAUUAGCUAGAAAAUUGUUGAUCUACUGAUCUAUGAAUCUGCCACCUCCACAUUAAUUACGUACUUACAUUAAAGUUUUUUUAGUUAUAACAUUUUGCGACACACAACAUAAAAGGAUGAAUAUAACCUUCAUGUUUCCGAUACAAAGGUUUCAAAUAUUAUUUUUUACAACCAAAGAGCGACAGAUGGAUAUAACAUUUGUGUUCGCAACUACUCAGCGAUUCAAUACAAGGUUUUAGAAGAUGACAUUCUGAACAUCUACAUACAGACGCAAGGUGUUCAACAGUUGUGUUCGCAACUACUCAGCGAUACAAUACAAGGUUUUAGAAGAUGACAUUCUGAACAUCUACAUACAGACGCAAGGUGUUCAACAGUUGUGUUCGCAACUACUCAGCGAUACAAUACAAGGUUUUAGAAGAUGACAUUCUGAACAUCUACUUACAGACGCAAGGUGUUCAACAGCUGUGUUCGCAGAAAUUCAGAUAUAGCCAUAAGGUGUUGAAAAGCUGUAUAGAAACAGAGAGAAGACGCUAAAACUGCGUUCACGAGCAUUCAAAUAGAUACAAAACGUUCAAAUGUGGCUAGAGAGGGCAAGCUGUUUAAAAAUGAUAAUCACAAUUAAUAUAGAAACAUGUUAUCCGACAGCUGUAAUCCCAACAAUCCAGAAACACAUACAUUCUAGGCGUUUUGUAUUCACAAAUACCUAAAGAUGAGUAUAAGCUGAUUAAAAGUUGUGUUAAAAAAGACAGACAGGAGCGAAUGUUCUACUUAUCCAAAAAGUAGGAAGCAAAAUAAAAUUAUGUUUUUAUUUCAGGACAUAUAUUAAACAUGGAACUUGGGAAUUAAAGAAAAAUGAAUAUCACAAUUAUGCCCUAUUUAAACAAGAAAAAAAAAAGACGUUGUUAAAUAUAUUUAUACAUUUGUAUGUAAAUAAAUGCAAUGUUAAACACUAUUAGAGACUUGGACUUUCUUCUACAGUGAAAACAAAAUUCUUUUGAAACUUUAUAUUAUGUAAACGUAAACUUACAGACGUAAGUUUGAAAGUCAUUAGAAUAGUGUGUAUAAUGUGAAAGUAACUAGAAUAUUGUAUAAAACUACUUCGAUUUGAAGUACUAUAAAGAUAUACGACUACUUAGCUGUUGACCUUACAAGCUAUUAACGUGGGGUAAAUUAGCAUUAAGACAUUAGAUAUUAACAGAUUAACUUUAAUUUUAAUUUGGUUUGGUCAUCUUUAUGAAGCAAAGGAAACUUCGAAGCUCAACUAGAGGGAAAGAUCUGGGCGUGACUUUGUGAGACAGGUAGUUGAAUUUUUCUACGUUUAGUUCAACAGAAUGUAUAGUACUAGCGUUAAUAAACUUGUAGAUAAAGGCAUAGUAAGUUCAGUGGAUAGUUUUUAAAUAUAUAAAAAAGUGUAAAAAUAUCGAUAUACUAAUUAACUUAAUUAAGUAAAUAAUUCGCAUCAAAAGGAAUGAGUGAAACCUGUUAAUAAACUUAAAUAUAUAAACAUAAUACAUAUAACUAGUGAUAUAAUUUAUAUUUUGAAUGUUGAAAACUUAGAAUUAUCUAUAUCAGUUGUAUACUAGUGCACGUAUCAACUAAUAGCGUUAAAACAUGUCAGAUCCUUCAGUGAAAUUUGUGUAUAAAUAUCAUAUGAAUAUGCUUACAUUUACAAACAACAAUAUGAAUAAAACUUUAUGCGAUAAUAUUUCAAAUUGUCACCCUCUACACAGGUGUAUCAUCUAUAAAAAGUUUCGGUUUAAUUUACAUCCUCUGCUUGGCUACCUGCACAUUUGUAUUAUAGCAUUACAGUGUAAUCUGACCAGGCGCCUGAGGGUAACGUUUUCUGCAUUACCAAAACAAAAAUUGACAUUUUCUUGCACUUGAAAAAAUUAAUCAUUCAUUCUCCAUACCAAAUCUUUUGAAUAUUAAAACAUUUCAAAAUAUCACACGUCAUAUUGGUUAUCACGAGUGAGUGAUGAGUGUUUAGCAAAAUAACUAUUUUGUUGGACCAGACCUCAUAACUCAUAAGAUAAGGAGAGUAUAAGGAAGUUAUUUCGGCUAUGAUGACGAAUUCCGUAACUAUAUUUAUAUAUAUAUAUGAUACAUAUAUUUCAAAAGAUCCAAAAACUAGAGUGCUUUAUAAUAGUUGACUUUUAUUCUUCACGAGUAAAGUGUGUGUGUGUGUAUAUAUGUAUAGAUAUAAUGAUAUUGGAAUUAAAAAAGUAAAUAUGCUUU